GUCACCGAGGGAUCACAGAGUCACAGAAUGGGUCAGGUUGAAAAGGGCCAGAGUGGGUUAUCUGGUCCGACCUACCUGCGCAAACAGGGUCGUCCUGGAGGAUUGCGUCCGCAUCGUUCUGGAGUAUCUCUCGUGAGGGACACUCCACACCGUCCAUGGGCAAGCCGUUCCAGUGCGUGGUCACCCGCACAGUAAAGAAAUUCUCUCUCGUGUUCAGGAUUUUGGCUAUGCUACUUCUGCAAUGAAUAUAAGAGAGUGUUAAAAAAAAAGAUACCAGCCAAUCUGCAAAGAGUUCUUAUAUAAAUCUACAAGGAGAAAAUACAGUGAUACAAAGAAAACACAUGAUACAAAGAGGAGCUUUCAGCAUGAGAGCCAAAAAAAGAGGAAUGUAUGCUUUCAAAAGACCAUAUUAGUGGGAUUUUAGGAGCAAUAAGAAGUGUGCUAAUUAUCAUCUUUGAAACGAAGGACUGCUAAACAAGGAUAUGACUUGGGUACAAUUCCAUCAGUGAUAGCAGAACUUGUGUACACUCUCCAGUUAGAAUGAGCAACUCUACUAUCUUUUGCAAGGAUGUCUCGUACAGGUUGAGAUUUCGUGUUCACAUCCCAGAAUAUACAAGUGAGAUGGCCUUAAAAAGUUCAGUUGAAAUUCAGAACACUGCAGCUAAUGAGUGAAUUACAGGAAUGGCUGCUGGAAAUUGUCCAGGAGAAGCGUAACCAAGAGAGCAAAUUUAAAGCAUUCUUUGCAAAAGGUGGUGUCCUGGAGUGCUGAACUGGGAAAACAGAAAGACAGAUGGAGGAAAUCAAAUGAAUCAGGUAGAUUCUCUGUAAUGGAAAUAAGGAUUGCAGCCUCAAGCUCUCUGAAAACUUCUGCUCCUAUGGAAGUCGUGUAUUCAACCCGUUUUCACAUACUAUCCUUGCACAAGGUAGAAAAGUUAUUUGACUGAGAAGAUCAAAAGAGGACCAAAUUGCCACUUAAUCACAAGACUUGAAAAAUCAGCACUAACAGCCCUCAGUACAAGUCUCUCAUGAAAGUGGAGAACUUCUACAGAAGCAGAUAAGGAAAUACAGAGGAAGCACAAUUACAAACACAUCAGCAAAUAUAUCCAGUUUUUGCAAGGUCGGGACUCCACUAUAUCAGCAGACUGGCAGAUUUCCAACAGAAAGAUACUCCCAACCUUGGAGAACUUGUGAUCUGAAAGUCAGACAAGAAGCUCUGAACAGACACAGGGAAAUUCUGUUUGAAAAAAAAAAUAUUUUGCCCUUUCAUGUGGAUUCUCACACUCAUUGCAUGCGUCUUGCCUGUGGAAGUCAUCCUGAUUUACUUGAGCGAGAUGUGCCCAUGUGAUGCACCUGAAAAUGGAGGAUGGUCAUGAGCAAUGGGUUGCAAAUGGAGUUGCAUCACCAGUGGGGAGAUGUGGUGGCCAAUAAAAUUUUCCAGGAUCUGGCCUUAGCUGUCCAUGGGCAAAGAAACAGCAGGUUUCAUCGCUGCCCCACAUUCAGGUCUGUCUUCCAAGAGGGAGAAGAGGUUGUGACAAACCUUUCCUGGUGCUAGCUCUGCCGUGGGUUCCCUGCUCCUGAAUGCACUGCAGCUGCCUUCCCCAGAGCUGGAGUAAGAGCCAGUCGAACAAUGCUGGACCUACAGCCCACUGUCACCAGUUCAGACCUGAGCACCAUAUAUGCCAAAUGUGCCACAUGAACAACACUCAAUGGUGGCAACCUUGUUAGAUCCCCCUGACAAAAAUGAAGAACGAAUCAGAGACAGGAACUGGAAACACGGCUGGAAGGGCAGGAGUGCUGACAAUAACACAUCUUUCAAGAAGUGCGAGGUAUUACUGAUUAACUACAGAAAGACUUAUCUGAGUUCAAGAAAACCAGCAGUCACUUCUUUUGAGCAGUAAGAGUGUGCAGCGAGUGAGAGCAGGACACCGAGGUCUUGGCUUUGGCAAAGCAUUGAGUACAUCCAGGAGAAUUAUACCUGUACCUGGUGCCUUUGCUGGCUAAACUGGUAUCUGAAUGCCUCUAACCUCCCUUCUCUGCAACACAAGCUGUAGGAUUUGUUAGUCAGUCCUGCAUAAAGCACAGUCUUUCUGCUUGAGCAAGAGCAUUUUUCUAGAGGAAAACAUCAGAUCUUGAAGGAAGAGUUAAAGUGUCUAGAAAGCUGAUCUUCUACUGUUAAUUUUUUUUUUAAAUCAACAAAGCUGCUUCUCUAAAAUAUGUUUAAUCAGUGGAAUUGUGGUAAUGCAACUGUGCUGGUCUCUGCCAUCAACAGGGAGAUGUCCUGUUUCCUUCUGCUCGUCCCUUCUUUUCUCCACCUGCCCAGUCUGCUCCUCAGACCCUGCUGUGACUCAACUCAGCAAAAUGUUAACACAGAGUAAAUCAAGAUUUUCAUGUGAAUGGCCACAGGAAAAUCAUACUGAGGAUUCUCCAUCAGCUGAGUGAAUUAAAGGGCCACAUGAACAACCAGGAAUUCAGUGUGAGAAGGACUCUUUGAGACAAAAACAGUGAAAGGGAGGAGUGGAGUGUAAGAGGAAUGAGGUCACCACUUGAGGCAGAAAUUCAUCAACUUCAGCUCUUUUGGAGCUUUACUUUUGGGGAAAAAAGGCUACUUGCAUAUUGUACAGAAACAUGCUGGAACUUAUAUGUUCUAGAGGUAAUGAUACCACUAUGAAAAGGUUACAACCUCUCCCACUGGUGAUGCUAUCCAUAUUCCUGUUCCCUGAUUGCAUGAAAGUAGGCAAGACCUUGGGCUCUGCACACUGCAGGUGUGCAGCUGUUGGCUAAGACCCAGCAUGGGUGAGAGCUGCUGGAGUCUUUGCUGUGCCCACAAUGACACUGCACUGUUUGCCUGCCCUGUGGCUGUCCCAUGGCAUAUGGGGACAUGUGGGCUUUGUGACACUGGUGCAUGGCCACCUGGUCAGCUGAAGGAGCCUUUCCAGAUGCAUUGGGAGUGAGAGGAACACCAGCCAUCCAUGAUUCAUUCUGCAUUGAAGAGAUGAGACUGGAUUCCCACUGGCCUGAUGGCACCAGCUCAGGCUGGGGAGGACCUGGCACCAGUUCCAGUCAGAGCAUCAGCACUGAUGGCUGAACACCUCUCAUGUGGUUGGUACAACAAGAGCCAGAGUACGAGCAGGAAAGGACAGAGAUGUAGGUGCUCAAGUUAUUUAGAACUGCUAGUGGCCUUUGGCCAGGCUGUGCUUUCAGAAGACGUCAAAGGUGAGUUGCUCCCAGUCCGGGCACCAUCUGCUCUGUUUUCCCUCCAGUGCAAGUUUAAAGUGUUGAGACCAUAAAAAGCUUGUUGUAUACCCUGGGGUACUUCAGUGCUGGCUACAGGAAACCCAGCUGGAUAUGGACCACCAGAUAAGCCAGCUCCCUGGAUGUGAUGUGCUGAGAGGCUGAUGGGGCAAUGCAUGGGUACCAGCAGUUGUGGGAUGACAUUAGGGCCUGUGUCAGCAUGCAGCCACCCUGGUCACCCCCAGCAGCGACACACAGGCAAUUCAUCUCACAGGACAGCAGGACAUAGAUCCAGAGUACUGCUGGGAAAAUGGGAAAGAGGUUAGAGCCUGGAUGCUGGCACAGACUUGUGGUAGUGCAAGACCAGGCGAGUCAAUAGUAAGGAUGCUUACACCACACACUUGCCCACACUGAAAAAACAGAAGUGGAAAAGGUGAAGCUGGAAUGCUGGGGGUGGAACCUGCUGAGGCAGCAGGGGAGAGGGGGUUGGGAUGGGGCUGCAUGGAAAAACACAGUGGCUAAACUUAGCAGCGAUGUUUCAACCCCAGUAAAUCUCUGACAAGCUCAUGUGAGCCGCAACCAUUGCUAUUGAGAAAUAUGAUGGGGGGAACCUUGUAAUUUUUUUUUCAUUUACUCACUAGUUUAUUUUCCUGUGAAUGAUAGUAACAGUUCAGCCUGAAAAGUUGAUGUAAUUGUGAUUUUUUUUUUCAGCUGUCACAGUUCAAAUGCCCCUGCAUAUGUGCUUCAGAGCAGAUUGCUUUAACAGCAGUUUGGCUAUACUUAAUGCUUUUAUAUAAUACUUUUGUUUAACUCAAUUUUGUAGUGGUAUUAUGCUAAGCAUUUUUUAGCAUUUUCUUUUUACAAACAUAAUUUCUACAUCUUGUUUUUUAUAACUGUUUGCAAGUUCUAUUAAGUCAGAAUUUCCAAAAGCAGCAAGCUGUGGCGAGUUGAGUAUUCAGUCAGGAUUUAAUAGACAUCACUGUGGUCCUCUUUCCUUUGGAGGCUGUUCACCUGUGCCUUUCAGGGAUUCACUACAGCAGAGUUGAGCACAUCUUCUAAUUCACAGACCUUUGAAUAUUUUCUGUGGAAACAGCAACAUAUUCUUUAAAAAACAGUAUAUGUUACUGAAACUCUUGCAGUUUUACAGAAGAUGAUAUAUGGCUCAACAUACUUUUCUCAGUCAGCUUUUGGGGAUGCUUUAGAUGUAUCAGUUGAAAACUAUGGAUGCUUAGUGAGAUAGGCUCUGCAAUAGGUUAAAGAGUCUCCCACAGACCUGUCACUAGCUGAAUAAAGAGACUGAGGCAAAUUUCAUCUGAGUAGCACUGUACAGAGUCUGCAUCUUUGCAGAGAAAUAAGAAGUCUCUGGCAGACUCAUACUUAUUUGGAAGGAAAUGUUGGAUAAUGGGGAGCAAAUUCAAAGUCAGCUUUGGCAAAGGCUUUGCUCAGGUAAUGGACACAAAGUGCAGCUAGAGAAGUUUGCAAGCCUGUGCUUUCAGCAUGCUUUAGUGGUCAUAGGGGUUCAUGGGAUCACCUCGCCCCUCUGUGAUGGGUUUUGGCCCCUGCAGGAUAGCAUAUGACUCCUAGCACAACCACAUGGGGAUUGGGAUAUGAUCAUGAAUUUUAAGCACUAAUUUAGGUUUCUGGCUGACAAGGAGAGCCCACCAAAGGUUGGACCAGCCUACCUGACACAGUUGGGAAUAGGAGUGAUGAAAAGGGCAUGCCCCAAAGCAAAAUGCUGUGAACCUGCAGCAGCCUGAGCUGCUUUAUGCUAACCAAGCAUAGUAAAUCAUCCUUCUAGCUCUUAGCCAUAUCAGAUACCACUAGAUUACACUUUGGUGAGAGAGACAGAAAGUGCAACUAGGCGUGAUCUGCCACUGCCUAUUACUAUUUUGGGCUGGCAAAUUUUUGACUCUGGGUUUUAUGCAAGUGAAUAUAGAGGAAGGCAGGCAGUGGAGAGCUGUUUCAGAGAGGUGCAAUUGCUUCUGUCCUGGGUGUUUGGGAUCAAAUCUGGAGAGAAAAACCAGUGCUGACUGAUUUAACUCUCUAGUUGCUGCUCUGCUUGGAGCUAGAAGGCCUGACAAUGUUACUGCCCCAGCCCCUGCCAUAAAUUCGGCUGUGCUGUGACCUGCCAGACAGCCAGAGUAAAGGGUGCAACACUUGCAAGAAAAUUAUAAUUUAUCUCCAGAUGCCUUAAGAUGCUACAGUGGGUCAGGAGCUGCAAGCCCACCAGACCAUGGUUCCACAAAUCUGGUUUUAAGGUUCUUAGUACUAAAUCCGAAGCACUGUAGGCUUCAGGUUGUUGGUCAGUAAACUCAUGCUUGGGCUCUGAUUUCUUCAAAACAUGACAACAGAUUGACUGUGCACCAGCAGCCUUUGCCCUGAGCUAGGUGCUGCCCCCUCACCUGCAGAGGGCUAAACCUCCAAUGAGUGCAUGGACCCAUUGGACAGAAAUGUGACCACGUGCCUGAGCCUAAACUGGGCCAGAGGAGCACCAUGGGUGCUUGAGCAGUGCACAGACCCAGACCUGCUGAGCACAGAGCCCUGGCCCUUGUGCUGAAGGCAGGCAACCAGCAACAACCUGGCCCCCCUGCCCCUGCUCAUCUGCAAGGGAAGGUUCAACGGGUUGCCUGCAAAACCAGUGGAGGAAGUUUCUACCCUACAGUUUUGGUUUUGUUCCUGGAAUGCUGCUCGUUGUCUUCAUUUUGCUGAUGCAGCUGUUGGUGAGAUUGCACUGAUCACCAAAUGAAAAAAUCAAGGUUAAAAUCACACUCUUUUUGGGAGGAGGUAAUUAUUAAGUAGAACUACUAUCAAAGUUUAUUUACAGCCCAAAGUUUAAAAUGUUCAUACAGAUUGAGGGGCAGAGACCUGAGCCAUAGGAUUAGGCAGGCAGCCACCAGGGAACUGGAGACUUCAUGGUGUGCUCCUGUCAAUAAAGCCAAUACCUGGUAGAACUGCAACCAGAGUCUUGUUGCAAUAGUUAUUCUCUACCUAGCACACUGCACUCAGACUGUGGACCUUUCAUAUGAUGCAGAAUCAGGUUCUUGUACAUGCUUCAUUCUCUUCAUCUGAGCUACGUGUACCACUUUGACUCCUUCCCCCCAUGGGACAGGAUUUUGUUGGCUUGCAGAUUGCAUUCUCUCUAACAACAGAUUUCUUGCAUGCAAAUCAAGAAGUUGAGAGGAAGAUGAGGUGAUGAAUAUGCUAAGCAUGGAAAAGCACUAUCAUGUUAUGGUUAUGUUUGCACACAUUUAAAACAGAAAACAAUCAAAUUUGAAUAUCACAGAAUCAACCCCAGCAAUUCUGCAUUGCAACAUAGGAACAAAGAUACACUGUUGUAGAAUUUAAAGUUCUACUGAAAAUAAGUGAUUGUGGCUUAAACCUUUAUUGAAAACAAAUGGUUAUGUUCUGUGAAUUGUUUAUGAGAAGAAGUUAUUUAUUCUAUUUCAAAUAUUUCCACCUUGCUGCAGAUUCCUUCUUUAGGAUGCUGAGGAAGGCAUUGUGUUGUCUGGUCAGGUGAGAGGACACAGGGAGGUGGAAAUUUUAAAAUAAAACUGCAGGAAUGGUUAGAAAAAUGUUGUUUAGUGAUUCUGACAAGUCAGUAAAUAGCAGCAUAUUCAAAGUCAUAGGGGUUUAACCCUUUUGUCAGCACAGGGUUUCCACAUUUCUCAGUGCCCAGCUCUGAACAACAAAUAUGGGAAUCUGUCUCCUUCCUUAUUCAUCACUGUGCCCCUGGAUUACAGUUCAGCUGGAAUAUUCCCCCAGAUUUGAUGGAACUGGUGGUGGUUUAUCUCAGUAUGUCCCCCUAUAAAAAUGGAUAGCCAUAACUGGAGGGUUGACUCUUUGCUGAAACAUGUGAGCAAGAGGGAGUGGGGCUCAUCUGUAAAACAACCUUGGUGUGAUGCUCUGAGCAUCCCGUUUGGGCCACCCUCCUGGGGCAGGCAAAGGGAGAGCCAGGCUUGUGACUGGGGAGAGAGGCAGCAGCCUGCUGAGCCCAGGCAGCUCAGUGCAUGAACGCAGGCAGCCAGGGACCUGGGCUGAGGAAAGCUGCUGGGCCAUGAGGAGCUGGGGUAAGGCUGAGGGCUGCUUCUGUUCAUCCUGGAGCCUGAACUCUUCCACAGAGCCUUUGUGGAAAUGAUUAUUCCUACCUUGCUAAAUUGUGGUAGCCAUGGAUGUCACUGCUUUUUCUCCCACCUUUUCCUUAAAAUGCCUUUCACAAUUUCUGAAGGAAAAGAAAAAGAAGGCUGUUAAAAUACAGCUUCCAUUUUGAUCUUUCUUUGGUACCAAUGGUUCUCUUCUACAACACCAUGUGCCUCACCAGAAAACCCAAUUCUUCAUUGUUGCAUGAUUCAUAUGUGUUUUGUGUCUUUUUUUAGAAAUAUUUCUGAUUCAUUAAAAUUAAUUCCUGCAAUCAUUAAAUCACCAAAAUGAAAUUAAAUAAAAUGAAACGUACAAAAUGUAGCAGCCUGACCUUCUCUUCCUGUGGUCUCUCAAAGAGAGGUGUGCAAAACAGAGAUUAUUGCUUUCUCUUUUCUGUUUAAUAUUUUCCUCAACAAAUGCCUAAUUAUUUAUUUCCAUGAAGCUUACACUCUUCUUGCAUUUGGUAACCAACUUAAUUGGGGUUUUUUCCUAGCACAUCAAAACUGAUGGCAAAACUUGACUUCUGCAGGAUUUUUUUUCUCCAUAGGAACUUAAAGGAUUUUGGCCACCCUGUGUUCAAAGUGAGCCUGUAGAUAUUUGUGUGUGUGUGUGUUUGUGUCUGCAUGUACAUUGUACACACACACAUAUAUGUGUGUGUACAAAAAUAUCUAUGAAAAUGUGUAAUUUCUUGGCUCUCAUCCUAACCUUUGUGCAACUGGGUGCUGGGAUCUGGAUAUUCAGUGUGCUUAGCAGCACUUUUUAAUGAAGAGGUGUUUUCUCCCUUGGAGCUGUCAUUCUCUGCCACAUCACAGACUCUUUCAGACAGAAAAAUAAUUGGCCACUUUCUCUGGAAUCGGGGAGCCCCAGGGACCGGCGGAGUGCUCAGCGAACCGGGACAGCCGCUCGCAGUGGUGCCCACUGGUGUCCCCCAGCCGAUGCUGGUGCUGCUCCCCACGUGGGUCCUGUCUUCGGGGGCACCACCCACCCUACAGCUCCUUAGUGAGGGCUCCUCGAUGGUGAAAUGUGACAGGCAAGACCCAAAACGUCAGGAGGAGAAAGGUGAAACAAAAUGGACAAUAACUUCCAGAGCUGUUCUGUUACCAGAUUGAAAUGCAGGCUUGCUUUGCUCAGGGUCUGCCAAUAUCCACCUUUCAUCAAAUAGUCCCCAGAGCUGUUAGCAUUCAGAGACAGGCAAUGCACUAAAAAUCCAUCCUUUGGAACCUCCCACCUACUACACCCCAUGCAGAGGUGAUGAAAUAAAUGGUGAAGGCUGCAUACUGGGAGCACUUUCCUGGCAGGAGCACGCCAGUAUCCCAACCCAGCCAAUGGCUCAAAUGCAAACACAACAGAGCUUAACCCGCUCUGUGAAGUUCCUCUGGGUCCGGCUCUGCCACUCCCUAAUCACUGCUCGCUGUCCUGACCGCUCCUGUCACCACAGCACAGACUCACUUCGAAAAGAGAAGAGGCUGGGAAGAGAUCCGGAGGAGCAGCAGAGGCGAGCAUUUCUCUCGGGAACCAAGGACAUCCAUCCUGCUUGCAGCUGGAACACAGCCUUAGGAAGACAUCUGCAGGAUGGAAGGAUAGGGUCCCUGUUUUCUAUCAUCGUCCCGAGGCUCUGUAUUUUACCUGCCCUGUUGUUCCCCAGCUGUCAAACCCUACGCCUUAGGCUAUAUAUGAGAGAAAUUGGAAGGUGGGAUUUUAGCCUGAGUAGAGCUGAAUAACGUGUAAAAUAGGCAGAAAUGUUGCCAUGAUAACGUUAUGCUUACCAAGGCCUCAUCACCAUGUGGACAUCAGGGUCUGACUCAGGCUCAGACCAAGUUCCUUGCUACUUUCUAAUGGGUCGUACCUUAAGGGCGCUGUAUUUCAAUUUAAAUCCUUUUCCUAUUCGUUACAUCAUUUUCUGCCCUUCAAUCCAUAGCAGUCAGCAACAGGAGAACCAGGAUUCUGCCACAUCUUCUGCCUGAGAUGUGAAUAGUGGAAAAAGGAAAAAAAUAGUCAAAACAAACAAACUCCAGAAAAACAGAAAACAAAAAAAAGCAAUAUGAAAGAAUAUGCAUUUGUGAUAUGGUUUAACGGUCUUUGUGGUGUUGCUCAUUUGUCUGUACUCAUCUGUAAAAUUCAAAUUCUUCUAGCUAAAAUUUUCCUUCACUAAUGUGUUAGGAAUCCACACAGUCAUCAGUGAUAGAAAACACAGUGCUUAUACUUCACGCUGAACUUAUUUGGAGAAAAGUGGUGCAAGGAUUAUUCACUUCACAUUGUCCUUGUGUCACCAAAAAGCAAAUUGUGGUGGUUCCGUUGCAAGGGGUGUGGGGGUUUUGGGUGGACUCGGGGGUGAAGAUGUAGGUCACACAUCUUUUUUGUUUCUUCAUAAUGGAAGAUAAUUCCUUUUGCUCUGUAUAUUCUAAAUCUCAGCUGCUAAACAAACAAAACCGAGGAAGGCAAUUCUGCAGGACUGGUACCAAUGGCGGGGAACCCUCCUGCCCGGAGUGAGGAGAGGAGAUGUCCCACCGGGGUGUCCACAGCCGUUUCCUUCUUAGCUCAUGUUUUUUCUGAUGGAAGUUGUUUUGAUGGCUUUUUUUUUUCUUUUUUUUUUCCGGGCCAUUUAAAGAGAGCGGGGGGCCAACGCCGCCCCCCGCCCGGCGACCCCCCGGGCUCGGCGCUCCCGCGGGCGCGGGCUCCGCAGGUGUGGGCACCUUUGAAACUGCCGCUCCUGCCAACGGGAUUCCCAGCUGAAAUUCACGUGGCAAAGAAAGUGCCCAUUUGCUUCAAUUAUUUUCUAACGACUCCGCUCGCUUGUGCCUUUGGUCUUGCCGGUACCCAGAUGGGUAAUUUUGGAGCUAUUUGCGUGCAUGCCCUUGUUUUGAAGGCGCACAGGUCUGUGAGCGCAGGUACUUACAAACGCUUAGUGGGAAUUAACAACUGAAAGGGGAGCCCUAAGCACCCCGGCCCGGGAUCACUGCGGCACCCGGAUUUCAAAGCGCCCGGCGUUAAUCCGGCCGGAUCGCCAGCCGGAUCUCGCGCUAAACGAUGGGGAUGGGGAUG